rnacentral:sRNA from 1 species
GCUGGGUACGGUGGUGCAAACCUGUAAUCCCAGUGGCUCAGGAGGCUGAGGCAGGAGGAUCGUGAGUUCAAAGCCAGCCUCAGCAAUGGUGAGGCACUAAGCAACUCAGUGAGACUCUGUCUCUA